AAUAGAAAUCAUGUUGGAGGUGAAGCUAGCUCUUGCAGCUCAUUUCGGAGAGGGAGACUUGAACUGGGUAAAGCUUUUCAAUGGGCUUCAAUCAAUCGAAAUACCGACUAAGAUCCCCAAAUUUAUUUCCUUGUUGUUGCAGUCUCAAUUCCCCAUCACAGCAGUAGAUUGAUUAGCCGGUGUGCAGGGUUGGAAAGCUGGUGCAAUUCCUCUUCUGGCUUUGGUUACUUCACUACCGCCAAACUCGACCGCUAAUUUUGGGUGACGCUUCUUGGUUGGCAUUGCCUGUCAGCUUUGGGUUUUGUAUGGCUUGUUUUAGAGGUGGUGAUUCAGCAGAGGCUUUGACAGCCGUGCCUCAUGUAGAUUGUGGCUUUGAAACUCGGCCGUUCAUGAACGACCAUUUGUUCCAAUGCUUAGAAAUUGCAGCAUAUAAGAUUGCAUUAAGACUCAGGCCAUUCAUGAAGGACCGUAUUUGCCUUAAUGCCUCAGACAAAGAAACUUGCAGGAGGUUGUUCGUGAACAACCUAUUCCAAUUCAUCAGGGAGAGCUUUGAGCAUUGAAAUGAGGUCGUUCGUGAACAACCGUUUUGCUUCAAUGCCUUAAAGUAUUUGCGAGCAGCAACGAUGUCAUUUCGACGAAGAACUCUAAUAACAGUGGUCGUUCAUGAACGGCCUAUUAGAGCUUUGGAGGUCACAAGACAUAGAGGAUUAAUUGGAGAGGCUUCACAGGGAAGGCAGAUGUAUAUCUGCAGAUUGCUUUUCUUUUCUGUGCGUCUCCUCCUCUCUGUAUUUCUUUUCUUCUUUUGCUCUAUAGCGUCUUCCUCUCUCCUCUGCUGCGUAUCUUUGUAUUUCUCUCUCCUCUGUAGUCUUUUUUGCUCAGUGUUUUCUGCCCUCCGUAGUGUUUUUUUUUUUUCCUCUCUUCUCUUCACACCACUACCUUUAUAUAGUAGUGUACUUGCUGAUCGGAUAGCUACCAGCCUCCCCAUACUUGUAAUUUAAAAUUUGAAUGAGAUGUGUUUAUCUCCAACUAUAUUGCAUGUCAGUGUAUCUAUCUUUGACGUUUAAUUGGUCAAACUUUGACUAGCAAUAUAUCUUCUUUGCUUGCCGUUUGAAUUUA